UGGAGCCCAGCACUGCUCCAUGUCAGUGCAGAGCCAGCCCCAGCUGCUCCAGAAGGGACCCCCAGCCUGAGCUGAGCCUGGUGGUAAUUGCUGACAUCAAACCAAAAGUCAAAACAUUAUUCUGACUGAAUCAAUGCAUCAUGUCCUGUGGCUGCCUGCAAUGUGAUUGUGUACCCCCGUGCGACCCAUGACAAGUCUGGCUUGUUUUGCAGUGUGGUAACGCACACGUCUGGUAUUGAGACUGAUGAAAUCACAGCCUUGCUUCUUCCCCAGGCUGUGCUCUCUUUUAAAAAGAUUUCAUUGUGUCACAAUACUAGAAGUAAAUAUACUUGUGUCUUAAUCACCAUCUAGCAGGUAUGAACCCUUUUUCUUUUGCUUAUGCACAUUAUCAUAGGCUCUGUCUCUAAAGAGGGCUACGUUGGCAGGUUUUUGGAAGUAGAAGCUUGAGAAGGUAUGAAAUUAGUACUGAGAUGC
rnacentral:lncRNA from 1 species